rnacentral:rRNA from 1 species
CCUACGGGUGGCUGCAGUGGGGAAUAUUGCACAAUGGGCGCAAGCCUGAUGCAGCAACGCCGCGUGCGGGAUGACGGCCUUCGGGUUGUCAACCGCUUUCAGCAGGGACGAAGCGCAAGUGACGGUACCUGCAGAAGAAGCCCCGGCUAACUACGUGCCAGCAGCCGCGGUGCUACGUAGGGUGCGAGCGUUGUCCGGAUUUAUUGGGCGUAAAGAGCUUGUAGGCGGUUAGUCGCGUCGUAAGUGCAAACGCAGGGCUUAACCCUGGGCCUGCGUUCGAUACGGGCUGACUAGAGGAAGGUAGGGGAGAAUGGAAGUCCCGGUGGAGCGGUGGAAUGCGCAGAGAUCGGGAGGAACACCAGUGGCGAAGGCGGUUCUCUGGACCGUGCCUGACGCUGAGAAGCGAAAGCGUGGGGAGCAAACAGGCUUAGAUACCCGUGUAGUC